AAAAAGAAAAAAAAAACAAAAAAAAAAAAACAAAAAAAAAA
rnacentral:ribozyme from 14 species